rnacentral:rRNA from 1 species
CCUACGGGAGGCAGCAGUGGGGAAUAUUGCGCAAUGGGCGAAAGCCUGACGCAGCGACGCCGCGUGAGGGAUGAAGGUCUUCGGAGCGGAAACCUCUGUCAGCAGGGAAGAACGGUCACUGUGCUAAUCAGCAGUGAAUUGACGGUACCUGCAAAGGAAGCACCGGCUAACUCCGUGCCAGCAGCCGCGGUAAUACGGAGGGUGCGAGCGUUAAUCGGAAUUACUGGUCGUAAAGCGCUCGUAGGCGGGAUGGCAAGUCAAGCGUGAAAUCCCCGCGCUCAACGUGGGAACUGCCUUUGAAACUGGCAAACUGGAGUGUGUGAACGGAUAGUGGAAUUCCAGGUGUAGGAGUGAAAUCCGUAGAUAUCUGGAGGAACAUCAGUGGCGAAGGCGACUAUCUGGCACAUAACUGACGCUGAGGCGCGAAAGCGUGGGUAGCAAACAGGAUUAGAUACCCUGGUAGUC